AUACAAAUAUGUUUGUAUGUCUAUGUAUUAGUCUCUUUUCUGUUGCUAUAACAGAAUACCACAGACUGGGUAAUCAAUAAACAAUAGAAUUUUAUUUGGCUCACAGUUCUGGAGGUUAGGAGGUGGCCAUGUUUGGUGAAGGUCUUCUUGCUGUGACAUAGCAUAGUGGAAGGCAUCACGUGAGAAACUAACAAAGAGGAGAGAAAGAAAAAGGACUCAAGGAUAUAGGUGGAGAAUGAGGAGAGAGGAAUAUACUGGAAAAGAAAGCAAGAGCGAGUUUUAAGAAGGAGGAUGUGGUCAACAGACAUAACGAUACAGAAUAGUUGUGUAAGGGGUUCAAAGAGUUGUCUCUGGGGUCCAGCAGACCUGUACCUAAAAUCCUGCAUUGCCACACUUGCAGGUAUGUGAUCUUAGGGGCUUUCCCCCUUUAGCUCAGCACUUCUCCUUGCUGCCACCAUGUGAAGAAGGACAUGUUUGCUUCCCUUUCUGCCAUGAUUGUAAGUUUCCUGAGGCCUCCCCAGCCCUGCAGAACUGUGAGUCAAAC
rnacentral:lncRNA from 13 species